rnacentral:rRNA from 1 species
AUUGAACGCUGGCGGCAGGCCUAACACAUGCAAGUCGAACGAGAGGCGGACGGGUGAGUCAUGUCUGGAAAACUGCAUGAUGGAGGGGGAUAACUACUGGAAACGGUAGCUAAUACAGCAUACCGUCGGCUGUGCCCAGAUUGGAGUAGCUAGGAGGUGGGGUAACGGCACACCUAGGCGACGAUCCCUAGCUGGUCUGAGAGGAUGACCGGCCACCCUGGAACUGAGACACGGCCCAGACUCCUACGGUAGGCAGCAGUGGGGAAUAUUGCACAAUGGGCGAAAGCCUGAUGCAGCCAUGCCGCGUGUAUGAAGAAGGCCUUCGGGUUGUAAAGUACUGUCAGCGGGGAGGCGUUACCCGCAGAAGAAGCACCGGGUAACUCCGUGCCAGCCGCCGCGGUAAUUC